GGGGCCGUGGUCUAGCGGCCAUGACGCCGCCCUUACACGGCGGAGGUCGCCGGUUCGAAUCCGGCCGGCCCCA
rnacentral:tRNA from 1 species